UACGUAGGGUGCAAGCGUUGUCCGGAAUUAUUGGGCGUAAAGAGCUCGUAGGCGGUCUGUCGCGUCGAUCGUGAAAACUUGGGGCUUAACCCUGAGCUUGCGGUCGAUACGGGCAUCACUGGAGUUCGGCAGGGGAGACUGGAAUUCCUGGUGUAGCGGUGAAAUGCGCAGAUAUCAGGAGGAACACCGGUGGCGAAGGCGGGUCUCUGGGCCGAUACUGACGCUGAGGAGCGAAAGCGUGGGGAGCGAACAGG
rnacentral:rRNA from 1 species